rnacentral:rRNA from 1 species
AGUGGCGGACGGGUGAGGAAUAUGUAGGAAUCUACCUAGAGGCGAGGGAUAACUCGGGGAAACUCGAGCUAAUACCACAUAAUCCCUAAGGGGGAAAGCAGGGGAUCUUCGGACCUUGCGCCUUAUGAUGAGCCUACAUCGGAUUAGCUUGUUGGUGGGGUAAAGGCCUACCAAGGCGACGAUCCGUAGCUGGUCUGAGAGGAUGAUCAGCCACACUGGGACUGAGACACGGCCCAGACUCCUACGGGAGGCAGCAGUGGGGAAUAUUGGACAAUGGGCGAAAGCCUGAUCCAGCAAUGCCGCGUGUGUGAAGAAGGCCUUAGGGUCGUAAAGCACUUUCAGUGGGGAGGAAGGGUUUAAUGCUAAUACCAUUGAACAUUGACGUUACCCACAGAAGAAGCACCGGCUAACUCUGUGCCAGCAGCCGCGGUAAUACAGAGGGUGCGAGCGUUAAUCGGAAUUACUGGGCGUAAAGGGUGUGUAGGUGGUUAGGUAAGUUAGAUGUGAAAGCCCCGGGCUCAACCUGGGAAUUGCGUUUAAAACUGCUUAACUAGAGUACUGUAGAGGAUAGUGGAAUUUCCAGUGUAGCGGUGAAAUGCGUAGAUAUUGGAAGGAACACCAGUGGCGAAGGCGACUAUCUGGACAGAUACUGACACUGAGACACGAAAGCAUGGGGAGCAAACAGGAUUAGAUACCCUGG